CUUUAAAAGAGGACUGAGGCAAUUUGUGGAAGGUAAGACUAUCUGUGGCUACCAGCUAUGAUUGCUAUGCUCUGCUUGCAUGGCUGGAGGCAUGAUGCUUCUGAAUACCAGUUGCUGGAAGCUGCAGGAGGGGAGAAUGAUCUAUUGCACGAAUCCUGCUUGUGGGUUUCCCACAGGCAUCUGGGUGGCCUCUGUGAGAACAGAAUUGGGCCAUUGGCCUGAGCCAGCAGACUCUUCUUAUGUUCUCAAGUAUGCAAGCUAGGGAUAGCGGAAUCUCUUUCAGUUCCUCAUUUUCCCAUUCUUGUCCAUUUCUCCACAUUUCCACAUCAGUUUGCAAUAAUAAUAGUAGUAGUCAUGAUAAUUAAAAAUAUUUUUAAAGUCCUCAUGAAGAUUCACCAUCAUUUUAGAGUAAGCUUGUCCUACUAUGCACAUGUUUAUAUGCAAUUUUGCCUAAUAAACACAAUUUUGCAAAGCAAUUUUCCCAAAUAUAAUGCAUUUCCCUAUGUUAUUUUCAUGAAUACAUACACACACUCACAUUCCCCCUCCAGUAUAUGCCUUUUUGUACACAUUACUUGGCUGGAGAACUGCAUUGCAAAAUUCAGAGAUGUGCGAAUUCACCUGUUUCAAUUCACCUAUUGGUUCAAAAAGUGAAGAUUUCAGUUUGCCUUUAAAUGCAAAUUGACCUGAAUUUCUUCCCCAUCCCUAAUGCCAGCAUAGUGAUUCCACUUGCUCACAUGAAUUGAGCCCUUUUGUAGAAAUAGUACUUUGUGUGCCCUUAUAAUGCCAAACUUGGGCACAAUGGAAAUGUUCAGCUAAGAGAAGCCAUAAACUCGAUGCUGUGUAUAUUUAUUUUUGCAUAGACUGUAUUAAAAUUUAUUUAAACACUUAAAAGGAAAAGGUAAGAAAACACAACGUGCUUUGCAGAAUGAGGAAAUUUGUUUCUCACUAAUACAUCGCAGUUGACAUACGAUGAUGAAGAGCUGAGUUGGGGUGGGCAGCUAUGAAUAGACAUAACCCAUUCCGAACUUGUUCCAGCUCACAGUCCUCCAUCUCAGAAUUAGGUCUGAAAGGUACAUUAGAAAACAAAUCUCCUGGCCUUGGCAAUGGUAUCUGCCCUUUACAGGACCCAGCAAGUGGUAAAUUCCCAUGGCAGGUCUAUAGACACUCAGAAAGUUGGUCACUGAGGUGACUAUUUGAUAGACUACCAUUUCCCCACAACAUGCACCUGAUGUUUGGGGAUCUCAGUCAUUGGCUGACAGUACCCCUGGUUACCCCAGGGUGAGAGAGCUCACUUCCAGCUGGCUUGAGGAGAAUUUUACAGUCCUUUGCUUCCCCAAAUAUACAGGGCAGAAUUGUAGUAAAAUUGAAUCUUUCUGACUAGCUGGUGGAAUAAUAUCAAUGGCUAGCUUACCAAGUGAUAGCCAAACACAUACUGAGAUAAUUUACAGUUUGGUAAAUGAUUGUUUGUAUUCACCCUGCUUUAAGGAAAUUGGGCGGUGGGGGGGGAUAUUGAACAGAGAGAGCAGUCAUAGACGAGUUUCUUUAAGGAAUUGUCAGAACUCCAGUUUAACCAGGUUCUCUUGAAUGUUAUCAGCAUUUUAGUUUUGAAAAAGACUCAGAAACUUCAAUUGGUCCAAAGUUCAUCAGCCAGAUUGCUUACGGGCUGGGUGUCCAUUUAGAUCUCGUAUAACUCCUGUUUUAAAACGGCUACUCUAGUUGUCAGUUUCUGGGCCCAUUUCAAGAUGCUCACAUUGGCUUUUAAAACCCUAAAUAACUCAGGCCCUCAAUACCCAAAUGAUCACCUCAUUCCCUGCCAACCUUCUUGAGUGCCAAGAUUGGCAGAGGGAGGCUUCUCGCUGGCUCCUCCAUCCCCAGAAGCCUGGGGCAUGGUGACCUAGCACAGGGAAUUCUCUAUGGCAGUCCCUAUUUUUAGGACCCACCUUAUUUCUGUGAUUGUAAGUGAUUUUACACUGUUUUUAAUAUUGAAAGAAGAGGGAGGACUGGAUGCAGAUGAGCUACAUUUUCCUAGGUUCUCCUUGGCACACACCAGCAAAGAAAAAAGGAGGGUGGAGUGGAUAUUUUGCUUUUCCCCCUGGGCUUUUGAGAUAGAUAGAUAUAAUUUCAGCUCCAGGUUGAUACUAGUGUACGUCAAGAUAAUUGGAAGGCGAUGCAUCUUUCAGAUUCAUACUGCUUUUCCAAUCCAACCCAGCUUGCUCCCUUUCUGCUCUGAUGUUGGUAAAGCAAUGGCUUGAGGAGGUUUUGGGAGUGGGAGGGGGCACUUCUGAAGUUUGAUCUGAAACACCCUGUGGCCUCUGGGCUGCUCCAUCACCCCGGCACCAUAGGACCGAAGCCUGAAUGUGUCUGCCUUAACUAGCAAUGGAUAUUUAAAAAUCCGGUGGGAAGCUAAUUGUUAGCUUCAAGUGCCAAACAUACGAAAGCAUUGUCUGAAUCAAUGUUCACUGAGGUUAACAUAAUUAUGGGAAAUAUGAGGGGGAAGCAGUUGCUGCCACAUCCAGGGGAGAUACAUAAUAAUUGAAGAGCCCCAGGACAAUUUCAAGAUGACUACAGUAUGUUAAGAACAGUUAAUUUUGAAUCAUUCUCCCCCAACAAAUUACUUGAUGCAGGCUACCUAGUGAGGUUAAAAACAACAACAUCUCCCCUCCCUUCUGAGAUUUUAUGGCUUGAAUUAGAAAGUGAGUUCCAUAAUUUAAUUUCUGAUCUUUGGUCUGAAAUGUUCAGUUAAGCUCAUUCACCAAUGACCCACAAAGGUCUAAUUUAGAAAUAAUGGAAUUACAGCGUUGCAGGGUUGAGGGUAUCAAUAAUACAACAAAGAGAACAAUCAGUAAUUAACCACAGAAAGUUUGCCCAGCAGCUACACAAAAUGAAUUUAGAAGCAUGAGGGGGGAAAUGCAAGAGUCCUCAUAGCUUGGUGAUGUGUUCUUUUAAAGGCAGAAAAAAAAUCUAGGCAGGGAUAAAGGAAGGGAGAUCAAAUAGAUUAUGUGUAUGAGUGGACUUGAGAGGGUUGCGUGUGCUUGAGCGUAUGCACGCGCACACACACAAAUAGAAGGCGAGGUGUGAGUUACCUGGAAUUUCUAUGUUUCAUAAUAUCUGGUCACAGAAAGCACGACUCAGCACUAAUAUUUAAUCUUCAUAUAGAUUCUCUGUGAACAUUGCUCAUCAUCAAAGAUCAUAUCAAAGCUGCAAACAUUAAAGCCUGGUGGAUUCACAUACUUUCCAUAAGGCUGACGUACCUUUCGGAAAGCCAGCCUUCUUCUGUAGUUGCAUUGUAAAUAGCUCUAUGACGACAAGAAAUCUCGAGGAAGAGACCCGACAUGAUGGAGGAGAAAAGUGAAAGUGAUGUUAGUGUCCUUUUUGGGGGGAAGGGAGGAUGCAGCAGGAUCAAAUUUGGGGUGCCAAAUUUAAGUGUUGCACAAGGCGCUGCUGAAAUUGGAGAGCUGAAAGUCCAACUCUUUAGAAAUGUAGGAAGCUGCCUUCUACAGAGUUGGAUUAUUGGACUGUCUAGCUAGUAUCAUCUUCACUGACCAGAGCUGGAUCUAGACACAUCAAAGAAGCGUUUUUGGAAAGCACAUUGUAAACAUUAUACAGUGGAAGCUUGGUUCUCGAACGGCUUAGCUGACAAACAAAGCGACUCCUGAACGCCAAAAACCCAGAAGUAAGUGUUAAGGUUUUUGAACGUUUUUUGGAAGCCGAAUGUCUGAUCGGAAUCCGCACCUUGGUUUUCAAACGGUUUUGGGAGUCAGAUGGACUUCCGGAACAGAUUAAUUUUGAGAACCAAGGUUCCACUGUAUGGGAAAUUGCGUUGGCAAAAAUGAAACUCCAUAGCGCCAUCUGGUGUCACAGUAUUGUAAUGCAUAUACAACACAUAUAAAACGAUUUUUCUUUACCAACCUAGCUGAGUCCCAGAAGUGGUUUUCUAGGGUUUCAGAAAGGGGUGAUGCCACACCUUGAACCUGAGACCUUCUGUAUAUAUUGUAAAGCAGAUGCUGCAUCACAAAGCUAAGGCCUUUUGAUUUGUAUAUCCUUGUGCUAAGCUCCAGUUCUUGGGAUUUCACUGGAAUGGGACAGAACAUUGGGUGCUAGCUUGAAUCAGUAUAUAGAUUCCCCUUUGGGGAUCGAGAUGUCCCUCACGGUCCUCCUGAUUCUGCUUGCUUGUCCUCACAGUGACAUAAUGAACAGUUGGGGAAUUCUGUCAGCCCUCUGUAAGCUUGAAUUGCAAAUGACAGUUAUCUUGGCAUUCCUGGGUUGCUGUGCCUGCAAACAGCCCUUAUGCAGGGAAUUGGUUGUGGCGUGAAAUUUUAGUGGCAGUUUUUUAAGAAGCAGGCCAACCAACUUUAAUAUGUGUUGAAAGUAGGGCUGCUAGGGAAAUUUUCAGCACAGAGGUUUUAUAAAAUUUUAACCAAGUCAAUAGAAUGCAUGCAAGCUGGGAGAUUCUGCAAAUAAAACACCAACAGCAACGGUGAUGGGGUUUGUUUUUUCCCUCAGCCUCUCUUUCCCUCCCUCCCUCUCCCUCCCUCUCUUUCUCUUUGCUGAUGUACAAUAUUAUAUUCUCCAAGGGGAGGCUGAAGUUUGAAGACAUAACAAAGCAAGAAUCCCUUUAGGCUUAAUUAUCUUCCUAUUCUCGUUUAGCCUGCCUUUCCUGUUCCCUCUUAGUGUUAUGGCCACUUCACUUAGUGAUGACAGCACUUGAACAACCCUAUAUUUAAGCAAGGGGUGAUCUGCUAGAGGGAGAGCAGGGCAAGAUGAGUGGCAGUCUCAAGUUCAAGCUACUUUUGUUGUUUUCUUGCCCACUGUGUGAGCUACGUUGUGAUGAUUCAACAGCAUAAUGUUUCAAGUUAUUAUUGCUAUUACCACAGUGUUUUUCCCCAACCAGAACUCACCAGAACUCAGUUCCGGCGCCUCUCAGGUAGGUGCCAUUGUCAUUCUAAGAGAACAAGGGAAGAAGUUCCAGCACUUUCUCCCCUAGAAAAAUCGCACUGAUUAUUACAAUUACAAUUGUUAUUGCAAUUAUUCUUUUGAAGAGUGGAAACAGUAUGUAGUUGUUGUUACAUAACAUGUGAAUAAGCAAAUUCAGAAAUAAUAUUAAUAAUAUUAAAUAGUAUUAACAGCCACCACCACACCUGAAUUAUAGAAGGGGUGUGUGUGUCCAAAAUUACCUUUCCAAAGCCACUUACCAACUUCAGGUGCUCCUGCAGCCGUGGCUGGGGAAACCCAGCCAGAUAGGUGGCCUAUAAAUUAUUAUUAUUAUUAUUAUUAUUAUUAUUAUUAUUAUUAUUAUUAGAGUUCAUUUCUCUACUCCUGACCUUCUGUGCCUCUUUGAUUUUUGUUGGCCUGACCCUUGAUGAUGAUCCUUCAAUUGUGCUAACAAUCACUUGUCAAAAUUAUAGGGUGCUUGUAGCAUUAAUUGUGAGAAUAGGUGUAAAAUGCAAUUGUGGCAGAUAUUAACCCCCAAACUGCUUUUAUGUUAUGUUGUGCAGCAUGUAGGAUUCAGCCCCCUCCCUGCCCCAGUGAAACCCUUUUGUAUCUAUUUUGACAUUCUGGCACUGCAUAUGGUAAGCCUGAGGCACUGCUGAAAAUACCUUCAGGAUACAACCAAGCGAUGUACCAUUGCCUCGCCACUCUGACACCAUUAUGUCAGCAUUAGGUAUUUGCUCAAUGAUGAGUGCUGUUAUGAGAAAUUCCAUAGCACCAAGAGAACGUUGAGAGAUGAUGGAAUGGAAAAGGACCCUUUGAGAGAGAAGCUGGUGGUCUGUUCAGCCAGAAAUCAAAAGCAUAGCAGCUGUAUCUAUAAGUUGCUUCAGAGAUGAGGCACACAGUGAUAUAUUAGAGGCUGAAAUGUUAUUGUUGUGGUUUCAUAAAACAAGGGACCAUUUCAGAUUAUUGUGGCAGAAGUCAAGCCCAAACUCACAGCAAGGUUCCAGAGCCUCCUUUGGAUAUAUGUCAUACUGAAUUGCAAAAAGCAUUCUUCUACCAGCACUAGGAGUGCAUUUUAAGAUUGCUUCUGAUUUCUUUUUAUACAUACUGUCAAAUAGCUAUAGCAUGGUCACUCACACUUCCACAAAUAUUUCUGCAAACAGCUUUGUGUCUUUGAUAUGCCCACAUAAUAUAUUAAGACCACUAGUGGUUAUAGUUGUUCGGCGUAGAACAACUAAUAUCAGCUGGCCAAAGAGAUAGAUGCCCUUGAUGAAUAGUAAAGUAGAAUCUGAAACAUGGAAGGAAGGGGCAGGAAAAUGCCUAAAAUAUCUUUCUUCAUGGCACCUCUGGCAGAGGUGCAACCAUGUCAUUCUAAGAUGCUUCCACUCUUGAGCUGGUGAGGUUCAGACUUCAGCCGCACCUGAUGCCAGUCUGGGUCCUGACUAUCCCCAAAGAAAAAAAAACAAAUGUGGUGUAGAGGGACAGAGAGGAAGUGGUUCCUGUCAGGGAAGCUGAGGAGAAAGCAUUUGAUUAUUAUUAUCUAUUUCAUGAAAUUUUUAGACCGUUUGAUUGCUUUUUUAAAAACCCUCAAAGCAGUUUGUUUUUCUUUUGAAUUGUUGAAUUUUGCGUGUCCCCCCCCCAAUUUUGUGCUUGGGGGAACAACCCCUCUGCCCCCUUUUGCUACGCCACUGAAUCGGAGGCCCUGAUUGGAAGGAAAUGCCUUGCUGGCAGGCUGGGCAUUAGCUGUUGCCCUGACUGGCCUACCAGUGAGGUUUUAAAAGGCCAUAGUAUUAGGCCAGGGAGGGGAGGCAUUGUGACUGGGACUGCAAUUCCUAAAGAAGCCCAACUCCUGUAGCAAUCUGUGAGCUCAGCACGUCUUGAAGAACAGUAGAAUGAAACACCCCUCCAGGAGGGUUAUGAGAAACUUAAACUAUUGGACAGUGUGAGUGAGGAAGACUGAACUGAACUGGGGACUGAGAGAUUUCCAGGUUUAGGGAAAGCGCUUCCUGAUACGCAUGAGCAUUGACGUUGAAGGUAAUCUUGCUAAGGACCGGAUUGGAUAGGAGAAAAUUGCACAACAAAGGACACCUCAGAAUAUGAUUCUCCUGCCAGAGGGUGGCAAGGGAGUCACACCUGGGCCUCUUAACCAAUCACAGCACGUUAUAAGAUGAUUUGCUGUGUCCCUUGCAGGAAUUGAGCAUGUACUUCAGAGGAAAUGCAAACAAGGGUGCUUAAUUUAAUAAGGCAUAAUAUGCCGGCUGGAGGAAAUCCAAUACCCACAAGGGAUAAUUAAUGGCCAAAUUAGAAGUGCUACCUGCAUUAGAUAUGGCAUUGAUUCUGGGGGAUUAAUUAGGCAUGUGCAUACAUGGUUAAUAAAGCAUGUUGGUUACUGCGGGAGAAUUUCUCACUAUAGCAGCCAUUCUGGGGAGGACCUCUCAUGGGCUUCCUCUAAAUAACUGAUACUAGGCUUCAUCUUAACUCAGGGGUCAGCAACCUUUUUCAGCUGUGGGUCGGUCCACCAUCCCUCAGUCCAUGUGGUGGGCUGGACUAUAUUUUGAAAAAAAAUAUGAACAAAUUCCUAUGCCCCACAAAUAACCCAGAGAUGCAUUUUUAAUAAAAGGACACAUUCUACUUAUGUAAAAACAUGCUGAUUCCCAGACCAUCCGUGGGCCGGAUUAAGAAGGCGAAUGGGCUGCAUCCGGCCCCCAGGCCUUAGGUUGCCUACCCCUGGCUUAACGUAUCCAUGGCUUCAGCAUCCUUUGUUUACUGGCACAAAUGCCAUGCUCUGCUCAGAGCAGCAUCCCAAACAGACACACAGUCUUGAGGCAUAUGCAGAGUUUUAGUUCAACCAGCCUUCUUGUUAACAGCCCUUAGUCUCUUGACCUGCAGAGCCUCAUCCAGUAUUGAACAUAUCAGUUUCCUCCUACAGAAAUUCCAGAAGUCCUGUCUCCUGCUUGUCCCUUAAAAAAUACGGGGGGGGGGGGAAUAUGCCGUGUCUUCCGUGUGGUUAAUGCACACAUGCCAAGGUGCAUUAAAGUCUCUAGCCUAAUUUGUUUUACUAGUAGGUUUAGAGACAUUUAGAACAAGUUUGUUCAAGGGGAGAUGCUAUGAAGCAGCAGUUCGCAUCAGGAAGAGCAUACAUCACACAUAAAAAUAGCAUGCAGGAGACACACAUUUAACGAGAUGGGAAACUUUUGUAAAGGUCACCAAAACCCAUUUCUCAUACUGAAUAAGUGGUUGGGUUGGGAUGCCAGAAACAAACCUCUGUGGGUUUGCGGUGGAUCAGUGAGCUGUAAAUACAUUCAAACAAGUCAUGUUGGUGCUUGUGUGCUGCCAAUUUAUGACAGCUAUCUGUGCGAUUGGCAUGGGCAAGUGUGCAUAUGUUGGUUAGCAGCACUGCUAGACACAUGCUCACUUUGAUGUUUGUGAGAAUGAUUCCAACAUGACUGUUUCCUCCAAUCAGGAUUAGGAAAGUGUUGUGUGCUCCUCACUACUCUGUGGGGUAGGAAGCUUCAGUUCAGCCUUUUUCUCAAUCAGAUUUUUAUUGUUAUUUGGUAACUGGAGUAUUGCUGACUUGUAAUGUUUCUGUAGUAACAAUUUAUUUGCAAGUAGACAAGUUGAAGAGGUGAGCUCUCAGGCAGUGCUGGUUUUGAAAGAUGUGUUGGUUUCACCAAAAGGAAACAGUAUGAACCAGGGUCACCCACACAUAUAAGCUCCACACAUAAUACUGUAUCUUGCCAACCAGUUGCAAGACUCAGACUUUUAUUUCAUUCAGUGGCUUAUAUUACUUCUUCAUUGUUGGCAUAUUUUGUUACUAUAAUUUCAGCAUGAAAUGUUUCCUAUUCAUAGAUACUGAUUAAUAUGGCCUUUUGUUGAGGUGACAAUAGGGCACCUCAACAUUUCUGAAAAGGAUAUUCUGAAACAGCAGAAAGCUAAUCUAAUUCUUCAGAACCUAUCUUUUAGGUGCCCUCCUUGAUAGCUAAUUUGCAGUUAGCCAUAUUAGAACAGGGAAAUUUGAGCAAAUUUGUGGCACUGUUAUAUGCUCUUUAUUGAUGAACCAGAGGAGAUGGGGGGAGUGAGAGAGAAGGAGACAAUUUGAGGCACUCAGGAGCAAGAGAUUAGCACCAGAAGUUUCAAAAAGAAUUCAUCUUUUCUGUUCUUUAGAUAUGUCUGAGCAGUUCUGACUUUUUGGUCAUAGCAUUCCCUGGUCACAGCUGUGUACUAAACAGUAAACUUUAUAGUACAAUCCUAUGCAUGUCUACUCAGAAGUAGCGGAGAAAUACCCCCCCCCUUUAUAUCUGGCUAGAAUAAGAGGAGGGGUGUCUCUCUCCUAGGCUCUCUUGACUAAGAGGGAUUCCUAUCGGCCACUGAAAGAGUGAGCAGGAGGCACACUAGUGGGUUCCCUGCCAAUGGGAUCCAGAGGAAAGCCUAGAAAUGGGGUGUUCUGAGGGCAGGGAGGGGGGUGGGUUCCUCUAGAUCCUGAGUGGGGGAAAUUGCUGUUGUGUGAUUGCAUCCAGCCCAAUCCAGAUCUGAUUGCUGUGCUAGACUGUAUCACUGUCUCCCUCUUCCUCCACAGCUCUUGUGAGAAGCAGGACUGUGGAUGUGGUUCUGUUGCUCUGCAGUUUGGCUGGUGCAGGAUGUAAGUUCAGAUGGUGCCCUAAGUCACAUUUAGCUUUUAUCCUGUGAACCACCAUGAGACCUGUGGGUAUAGGGCAAUAUAUAAAUUCAAAUAAUAAAAAUAAUAGCUUCAACAGCACUUAUUCCCAGUUGGCUAGAGCAUGGUGCUGAUAAUGCCAAGGUUGCAGAUUUGAUCCCCAUAUGGGACAGCUGCAUCCCCCUGUAGAUGAUCCUCAAGGUCCCUUCCAACUCUAUGAUUCUGUGAGUGCUAAAAGUUACAGGAUAAUAGCCAUACUGUCCUUUCUCAAAUCCUGUAUCUUCCUAUAUACAUAAAAAUUCAAGGCUGUCAUCACUCUGCACCCAGUGCAGGAUGUAUUUUCCAUGUAUAGCAACUGACUUCUUUAAAUUAAAAAAAGUGGAAACUCGGUGUAACAUUUUAAAAUAUUCACUGCUUUAGUUCUAUUGCAUUUUUAUUAGAUAUUGCGACCCUUCCCCAACUAAAGAAACCAACCAACAAGCUUCAGAUAACUAAUUCCUGUGAUACUGGAAGAGAUGAAUGUAACCUAUCUCCUAGCUGUGAAGCGGGAUGAUCCAUCCAUCUGCUACCCACAGAUCAACAGUGCAAUCGAGGUCAGGUUAUGCUACAAGCAGAGAUACCAUCUGCAAAGAAGCCUGAGGAGCAAGAGCUCCAGAUGAUUCAAAGAAGCCAGCCAAGCCACAUGUUACAGGAGAAGGCAAAAUAACAGUUUGUGUAUAUGUAUGGAAAUACAUCCCUGCUCCCAUGUAAGCAGAGAUUUAACUUUGCUCAUUGCAUUCCACAAGGCUGUGAGUUUGUGGGGGGAGCAUUAAAUGUGUUGUGUGGAAUUCAGCUUCCCAACUAUCUUACAGAUCAUUCUAACAGUACAAGGAGUGUGUAUGAGCAAUGUCUGUCGAAAUCUCAAAUCCAGGGCGGUGGAUGAAUAAGGCUUCCAAUAAUAAAAGGAGUUGUGUAGCUUUGGUGCAGAACUCUUCACCCUUCUCCACGAUGAACAAAGCCAGGAAAAUGGCAGUCCUGUGCCAAAUGUUAUGUAAAUUUGCUCUAUGUGCAUAAUUGAUAAAGGUCACAGGAUCCAGCUUUUCUUGGUGUGGAAUUUUAAUUGUCACGAGUCCAAGGCACAGCCCUGUAGAAACUGAUUUCUGAUUUUGUAGCCUUGAUCACUUUCAGAGAGAAAGACUGACACACCUUUGGCUUUCCUGCCAUUUGAGGGCUAGUUUUGUUCUGCACGAUAUGCAGAGAAUAAGCCAAAUGAUCUAUUCAUCCAAUGCAACUGACCUAUUUUGUUCUCACUUACAUUUAAUAUCUAUUUUCCUGCUGUUUGGAGCUGUCUCUUUUGUGAUCGGAGCCCGCCCAGCCAUUAAGUUGUGAACUGCCUUGAAAUUUAUGGGUGGAGGGCGGUAUACUACUACUACUAAUAUGUGGGGUGAGGCCGCUACCUCAGGUGGCAGAAGCCCCACAGAUAGCACUUCCACCAGAGAUUUUGGGCAAAAUUGCAUCUAUUUGGGGUGAGAUCUUACCCAAAACGUAUGUGAUCUUGCUUGAAAUUGGCACUGCCUGGCAGGGUGUGUAGCAGUGGCAGAGCAGGUGAUGGCAGUGGUGGCAGCAGCAGGUAUCGUGGUGGUAGGAGCAGCAGGGUACCACUUUGUGUUUCACUGCAAGCUGUGAAAUGAUAUGUGCCACCACUGUUUGCUAUACACAGUGAUGCUCCCCAGUAAGAGAACAUACAGAUUGGUUUUGCAUGAUCCUGCAUAAUAUUACAGAAUUUGUCUCUCUGAAAACUAAAUGAACUCAGCCAGCACUGGGAAGCUGUAGGGUUUUAUUGUCUUUGCAUCUUAUAUGGAUCACUGGCACUUUGCCACCAGUUUGACUCUAAGUGAAGGUCUUCCAAAGUCCCUGAAAUUCUUGGUCUUUCUUCCACCCAUCUCCAGAUUCUGCCCCCUUUCCCCUGUACUUUGGGUUUGCAUGUCAUUAUUAGCUUGUGCUUAUCUGAAACACAGGGCAAAUAAUGUGUGUAUUAUUUUAAACAUUGGACAUUAUAUGAUUUGACUUGUCUCCAAGGCUUUCACUUCUCCUUCCCAGAUCUAGUAUUCAUAAGAGUGCCCAUUUGACAUAAAGGUUAGUAGACUUGAGCCCUUGUUAGGCAUUCAAGGCAAAAAAAGACAGGGAUUAGGAUGCAUACAAAAGUCUUGGCCCAAAUAUCCCCGCACAGGCUGAUUCCACUUCAGACCUUCCCAUGUUGAGGUGGUAAAAUCUGAAGGAGAUUCCAUGAGUAUUUAGGAGACCACAGAAUCAUCUCCGCAGUCAAGAACCUCAAUCAUGGGAAGAAUUCUUAGCACAUUAGGUUAAAUAAAAAAGGACAACCUUAUUUCAGGGACCAACUACAGAUACAUGCUACAUGCAAAUGUGUGUGGGGAAUUUUUUUCUGAUUCUGUUAUGGAACAGCAACUUCAGGAAGGGUCAGUUUUCAGGGGUGAGGCAGGAGAUGUUUAACCCAUUCCACCCCUCCUAUUUUUCUGCUGCAGCCCACUAUAUAUAUAUAUAAAAUGACAUUCUAUCCUUGUGUGGUUUUUGUUUUUUUAAAAAAGGCUGAUAAUAAUAAUAAUAAUAAUAAUAAUAAUAAUAAUAAUAAUUUAUUAUUUAUACCCCGCCCAUCUGGCUGGGUUUCUCCAGCCACUCUGGGCGGCUUCCAAAAGAAUAUUAAAAUACUGUGAUACAUCAAACAUUAAAAGCUUCCCUAAACAUCUGGGGAAACCUGAAGCCCAAGGUUAUGCCCUAGUCUUCUGAGCAAACCCUUACAGAAUUAUAGAUGCUUUUUCUUCUACUUCAUUGGGAUUUAACUUAUUUGGGACAACACUGAAUUUCAAAUAAAAGACUAAUGAGAAAAUUAAUUACAAGAACCACCAAUCUGAGUUAUUAUACAAGCCUUGCAGCAUUUCAGGAUUUUGCAUUGUGUUUUUAAAACGGUUCCCACCCGCAAAAUUAAUGAAUGUUAGAAUGAUGUUGGAUUGAAGUUAAGUGGUCUCUAGCUGUAAUGGUAUAAAAGAAUAUGAAAAAAUUGGAUUUUUAACAGGUAAAAAUUUAAUGCUAUAAUAUAUUAAGAUAAAGAUCAGGAUAAAAUAAGGAGGGAAAGGUAUUGCUGAAUUAAUAAAUUGAACUGGAAUACAAAAAAGGGAGGUAUGAGGAGGUCCAGGAAACAAGCAAAUGAAAGAUAAGCUAUGAAAAGAUGGAAUUGUUUUUAACUGUUUUUUAUUUUUUAUUUUUUCUUUUUUCUUUUUCAUUAUGUAAUAUUGUGAAAACUUUAAUAAAUAUUUAUUAAAAAAAAAAAAGUUUCCCACCCUCCCCCCCACCCGCAUAUAAAUACAACCAACAGGCACCUUUGGCUGAAGCAAGCAGCUUAUUGAAGCAAUUCAAAUGGAGCUGUUUUUUUUAAUGCAUUUCUCUAUUUCCCUUCCCUGCUUUGCUGCCUUUCUGUGGGACACUGUGCAGACUCACUAAUGUGCUGGCAUUACCAUAAAGGGGAAGGAGGAAAGCAGGCUGGAGAACAUACAUAGUGACACCUUUCUGCAGUCCUUGACAGAAGCUCUAGUGAGAGUCACCACUACCAUCACAGUUCUCCUCCUCCAUAGUCCAUAUAACCACAUGACUGUCCAUCUUUUCUUUCUAACUAGGUUGUGGUAACUUUCCCCAUUCUCUGCACCUUAGCCAUCCCUCCCUGAGGAGAGGGGAAAAAAACAUAGCCAAGAGUAAAGAGCAUGCCCUCACGUUGUGCUUUUUCAGCCACAGAUUUCAAAACAAUUUACAGAAAAUGGAUCGGUGUGACUAACUCAUGGUGGCAUUUGACCUACAUAUUGCAUCACUUGCUCUGAAGUUGAAGAGGCAAGCGAGCCAGCCAACUGGAGAGAGGGGCGUUUGCUAGUCACCUCCAACCAUGAGGUCUCUGGUGGUAUCCUGCCUUUCUUCCCAAAGGGACUCAAGGCAUCUUAUGAUAUUGCUUUUUUUAAAUUUUUUUUAAAGAACCCUUCUGGUUUCCAUCCCAUCAACUCGCCUUCAAUGAAUGAGUUGAAGAGCAGGAAAAGGUAAAAGAUGACCAGAUCCCUUUUGGAUCAGAGUCCAGAGGAGGGAGAAGAACUCAGCAUUUGCUGAGUUUUCUUUUUAAAAGUGAGAAUCUUAAGCCUUGACUUAGUAGAAUUAGUUCUCUUUUUCCACACGUAUAUAACCCCCCCCCCCAUUUCACACAGAUUUCAGUAUCUUGGUGUCAGAUUGCGAGGGCCAAGUGACCCAUUACUGUACAUGUGGAAUCAAUAACUGAAUCUCCCCAUAUAAUUUUCUUCCAAACGCAGUUGUGUUGGGGCUCACCUUUUUGGCUUAGGACUGUUGGGUGGAAGUAGGAGGAACAAGGUCUACUUCUUUCUUCUGAACCAUGAAUCUGAUCUGAAUCAGUGGUCCCUGCAGUUAUGUUUACAAGGAAAGAAAUUGCACUGGAAAAUCCAGUGACUGAUAUUUCAUAUAAACACCUGGUUAGGCCUUCAGCCUCUCUGCCUCACAAAACGGGAAAGACACUACAGUAUAUUAAAAAUACAGCCCUAUACAUGUCUACACAAAAGUAAAUCUCGCUGGGUUUUAUGUGCAGAGGUUUACAACCUUUGGGAGCAAUCCUAUGCACAAGAAGCUGAAUUAAAACAGGUUGGUGUAAAUUAACUUGGUUACACCAGGUAGAAACCCCAUUCAGCAAUGGGGUUACUAUUGCUUCUGUACCUAAGCCUGGUAAAUAAGUUUUUUAAACUGUGUUUCUAUGGUUGGUUGGCAGGCAAAGUGACUGAGCUGAACAGGGUUCAGAUUCAGCCUAAAUCCUCCCUCUCUGUGUAUCUUUCUCCUCCCCGCCUACCUGGUUUGGUCCUGUAAGGUGCUGCUUAUGCACAAAGGGAAGCCAGCUGCUCAAGAAGGAGCAGCAAGCAUCACCAUGCAGGAUGGGACCCUCCAGUUUACCUGCUGGCAAGUGGGAGGGCCCAAUCCUAUGCAGUGCUGCUCCUCUAGAAGCAGCUUCAGGGGGCAAAAAGAAGAAAAGAUCUGACAGAAGGAGAGGUCAAGAAGGAAAUAUAUGCACCCACACUCUCCCGUUAUCUUCUUCUGUAAAGAUGCAGCUGCCAGGUAGGUAUACCACCCUACUUUUUCAAGCCCCAAACUGGGAUGUGCAUCUUCUGGGACAUGCUCCCAGGUGAGUCACGUGGCCUGUGCCUUACCCUUGUCCCAGAAAAAGCACGUUUGCAGCACCCAAAAUGGCCGCCAAGAUCUUGCACAAAGAAACAGGAUGUCCCUUUUUCCCUGAGGAACUUGGAAGGUAUGGGCAAGUCCUUCCUUUUUUGUGGUUUCUCCUUCUUCCUGUCAUGCCCCCUGGACAACUCUCUUUUUUUAAUAAUAAUUUUUUAUUAAUUUUCAACUCAAAUAUACAAUUAUAUCCAAUUUUUAACAAAUUAAUCCUUUUUUUGACUUCCUUCGGCUGCUCUGACAAUCAUCCAUAUUAAUCUCUCUAUUUCGCAUUCCUUAUUUUUGUAUUGCCAUUUUCUUCCCUCCCACUUCUAUUUCUUUUAAACAAUACAUCUUAUAACUCACAGUGCUUCUUGAAACCCCACUAGCGUUGUUUGCACAUCACAUAUACUUUUCAGAUAAUCCACAAAUUUCCCCCAGUCAUCAAUAAUUUUUUGGUCUCGGAGAUAUCUAAUUUUUCCAGUUAGUUUGUCCAACUCUGCAUAGUCUGUCAAUUUCACUCUCCAUUCUUCUAUCGUCGGUAAUUCCUCCUGCUUCCAUGCCCCCUGGACCACUCUUGGUCAACCAACCCACAGCAACCCGGGCCUGUCUCAAGCCAAAUUGACUGCAGUCCAGAUUUCAUCAUAUCAGCCUGAUUUAAUUCAGGCCCCGGACACACCCAGUGCCCAGCUUGAGUUUUUACAGCGCAGUUUUUGCAAAUAUUUUAGGAAGUGGAGAGAUCACACAGAAAUUAGUACUGUUUCUGAGGCGCCCAGGAGUCAACUCAUGUGGAGCACUGAAGAUCAAAACCAGCACUCUGAAUUGUGCCUGGAAGUCAGCUGGGAGCCGGUGGAGGUUUAUAAGCACAUGUGUAUUUAACCCCCAUUAGAAUCCUUGCAAGCUGCAUUUUGUACUGGUUGUAGCUUCGAAAAAAAUAUUCAGGGAUAGCUCUUCAUAGAUCAAUUCGCAGUAAUUGAGCUAAAGAAUUCGCCAAAGCAUGUAUGAGUUGCCAGAUCUUGAUCCUCAAGGAUAUUGUUCUCUGUCAGCCUACAGACAAUCUUGUUUCAUCCACAAAGCUCACCAGGUGUUCCUAGGCCAGGGAAACUGGGAUAAAAAUGUAAUAAAGAAAUAAGAUGCAUUAAAAAAAAAAAAUGCAAUUCCAGGUUUAACUGAAAUUGUUAGACUUUGCGGACUUUACAAAGUCCAGUUCCCCACCCCUUGAAUUUGAGGGCAGAGGCUAUUUUUCCACCAGCUGCUACAUAUACAGAAGCACAUGGAAAACCUCCAUGUGCCCAUGACACCGCUUUCCCAAGCAGAGAGGAAUUCCAGCAUUUGGGUGGAUCCUCAUUUGAAUAUUUGGGCAUGAUUGAUUCAUACUUUUUAUCUGAAUUUUGUUCCUGUUCCACUUUUAAUACAAUUAUUCAUGUGCUCAGUCCUAGGGAGCUGUGCAGUUCUGGCUUCCUUAUCUUAAUAAUGGUACAGUAGAACUGCAAAUAGCUCAGGAAAGGCAGUGAAAUGAUUAUGUAUAUGCUAAGGUGAGAGCAGAAGCCCUGCUUUAAAAGAUUCGACUUCAAAAGAAGAGCUCUCUCUCUCUGUGUGCGUGUGUGUUCCUGUGUGUGUAGUAUGGUUAAAUUCUAUAAAACAGGGAACUGCUCAUAUAUUUGAAGUAGGAGAUGUUUGAAGAGGAAAAAGGAAGGUCUAGAAUACUGCAUUAAAUAAUUUAAAAAUCCAUCACGUGAAGACCUGUACUGUAUUCUGAGAUAGGAAUGAAGUUGAUUUGGUUUUUGCAAUGGCACCAUUUGUCUCCAGGAACUAUAUUUAAACUGAAGCCGCACAUCUACAUCUGCAUGAUGUUGCUUGGUUGUAAGCUUGAGGGUGGGAGCUAUGGCUCUUCUUUAAAAAAUAAAUUAAAAAAUAUAUAAAAAAUCUGGGAGACAAUAUUUGUUUGAAAAGCAGGACAAAAAUGUGAUCCAAAUAUAUAAGAAUUUGGCUAAUGUGGCGAAUCAACUGGUAAGAUUGUAGGUGGACAAACUUGUUUUUGAAUAGUCCCUGUAUUGUAUUUGAUGGAACUCUUAAUUGUAAUACAAUGAAAUGCAACAUAUAAGCAAUAAAUUAAGCAACAAGAAGACCAUCGAAAACCAUACAGCUGUGGUUUUCAACCAGUGUGCCGUGGCACCCUGGGGUGCCUUGAAUGAUGGUCAGGGGUGUCACAGGCAACACUGGCCUCUGUCCCUCUUUCCUUCCCUCCCUCCUCUGAUGCAUCUCUGCCUCCCAAAGGCUUGCACAGCUGUUUGUUGCAGCAGCCCUGGCUACAAGCUCCUCCGGUGAAUGGUGCCUCUGGGGCUGGCCAGGGGUGCUCCCCAGGCCCCUGUGGAGCAGUGUGAGGAGGCACCUCUCUUUGGGGCAGGCAGCACAGAGACCGGGGUGGCAGCUACAGCUGCCCAGAGGACUCCCAAGGAGAGGAGAAAGAGAGGAGGCUGAGGGAACACUCAAGGGAAGGUGUUUGAAAAGGGGUGAGAGGCUGCCAUCUCUGCAGGCAAGGGGUGACAUAACUGGGCUCCUGAGCCCCACAGGGAUGCCACAGAAAGAAUGUAGUUGGUCAAGGGAGCUGUAAACCUAAAAAGGUUGAAAACCUCUGCCAUGUAGCAUCUAGCACAAGGCAUUACAAUUGCUAAAGGAGGUAGAAAAAUCAAAACCCUGAACAAUUUUCCAGCGGCCUAUGGAGAAAAAGUGUUUGGGACCCCCGGUAUUAAAGUACGGUAUAUGAAAUUUCUGGCAAAUGUGUUUCCCCACCUUUCAAGCAGGUUUUGAUGUCCAAAUUUCAGCAUCCUUCUUCUGGUGGAAACACUUUCUUUGGAUACCACCCUAGGCUCUCAGGCAGUAACUAAAUGUUAAGCAGAGGCAUAGUUUGAAUGGGGGGAAAGCAAGCAAUAUCAAACAUGCUAGAACACAAUCCAAGAAACAGGCAGAGGUCUCUUUUAAGCCCCUGUUUCUCUCCAUGCAAUAGAUGUUUUGGCAAAGCACAACUUACUGCCCUCAUGGUUUGUAUGCAGGAGCAACCAGUUAAGGGACAUGUUAGAAGUCCCACCCAACCUCUUUUGCUCUUCACACUUUGCCCAUGACUGCGGCUUGGGAAGAAAGUAGCUGAAAGGCCUAAUGGUGUGAGGGGUGGAGGGCUGAGGGGGGGGGGUUCCUUGAGAUAAAGGGAUAUUUGGUGGCUGGAUAGGAAUGCUUUGGGGCAGGAUUUAUCCCUAAUCUAUAUUUUUCCAUCUGUAUGCCGCUGCCUGUUUGUCUCCUCAGAGCUACCCACUCUCCAGCUUCAGACAUUUCAGUGUUGACAAUUGAUUUGCUUUUCGAAAAGUGCAUGUCCUUGACUAAUGAACUUUGCAUUCUGGGAGAGUGUGCAGGGACUGUUCUCCAGGGCUCAAUUAGUCAUUUCAGAUGCACACUGAUGACUGUAUUGUGUGAAACUUCAGGGCCCUACAAGGAAUUUCCCUUCAAUAGAAAUCUUUGGAUGUAAAUCUUAAGUUAACUGCUUUUUAAAAACAAAACAAAAGAAACAAAACAAGUGAUUGGGGGAUAUUCUUUUAAUCUACAUUUUAGAUUUUCAGAAAUAAAACUCCAUCUGCGUUAUGUGCUUAUUAUUUAGCAUUUUGCAUCCUCCUGCUGACAGGCUUUCUGUGGUACUGAUGACAAGGGUCUCUACAGCGGCAAGAUAAUCUGCUGCUCUAUUUUCUCCAGUCCUGUUCAGGGAAAAUGCAGUCACCUCCUCAUGUGUCUGAUGAUUGUAUUCAAAAGUUAGAAUGAGAGAAGUUCAGAAAUAUUCAAACUUUUCAGAGUUUGCUUGCUGCUAUUUUCCUUUCCUUUUAUUUAUUUUAAUAAAGAAAGAAAUAGGCAGAGGGACAAGUGUAAUGCCGCCUCUGGCUUUGCAUCACAAAACACUUGCUAGAGUUGGAAGGACAAACCCACUUUCAACUCCAGUUGGCUAUGAUGUAAACUCCUCCUCUCCUUUCUGGAGGAAAGGAUUUUCCUGGGCAAUUGCUGUGAGCCAAAGAUGGAGAGGAGAGGUAGGAUAGUUGCCACCCCUUUGGGUGGAAGUAUCUUGAUCCUAUUUGGCAGGCAUAUAAACACACAGAGAGACACACAAAACGUUGAUAUGUUUCCUGCCUUCUACCCGUUCCCUCCAUAAUUGUCUGUGUAGAUAGCAAACAAUGUUGAAUGUCUUGGAAGUUGGUAUUAUUUUAUAAAAUGAACCAGAUCCAUUAUGAGGUUAAAAAUUCUAUUGAACAUUCUUAAGGUUAAAAAGAGUAAGCUGUUAUGGUCAGCUUACAAAGAAACUGAUUCAAAAGACCGUGUGGGUCAGACUGUUGUACAAUAAUUAAUAUUGCAUAAGACAGUUUUGAGCAAUAAGCAGUUGUGGGAAGUGGAGGUGAUCAGGAUCAGGUUUUCAAUGGAUGGGUGAAAGAGUUUUACACUUUUCCUCUGCAGCAGUUGGGGUGUGUGCCUCCCCCCUGGCUGCUAUUUGCAUUGGGAAGGAAACUCUCAUACAUGGGGCACAACAGUGUAAUUGAAGGAUGCACUUAUGUUGUAUUGAUGCAGGGGUUCCCCCACCCAGCCGAAGCUCACCAGAACUGAGUUCCAGCACCUCUUUUGUGUGUUCCAGCACCUCUUUUGUGCAUACCUCUGUAGCCCAACAACUUGGGCUGGAAGUUGUUCCCCACUCUCCAAAAAAAGCUGUACUUGUAAUUAGCAAAUCUUUAAAGUAAGCUGGUUGAUUGGAUAACUGAUGAAGCUAUUCUUACUGAAGUGUAAGCAGGACUUAGAAACGGCAGAUCCACUACGGACCAUUGCUGUGUGCUAGCCCAUUUUAUAGUUUCCUUUGUGACAUCUAUUGUCGGACAUCCAUUGUAACUGACUGCCUUGGAAACUGAAUUGAGUGUUCUGGAAACUGAAGGACCCCUUUUAACUAAGCUUUCUAUGUUUGUAUCCUACUCUUUAUCUAAGGUGAUCAGAGUGGUGUGUUAUCUUCACAACAACCACACCAUACAUCCCCACAAUACAUCAAAAGCACAUUUAUACCACUUUAGAAGUCAAGGUUUCCCCCAAAGAAUCCUGGAAACUGUAGCUCCCACAGAGCUACAAUUAUCAGCUCCCUUCCUAAACUAUGGCACCCAGGAUUCCUUGAGGGGAAAGCAUGUGAUUUAAAGGCACUUUAAUUGCAUGCUAUGGAUUUGACCCAAAUAAGAAAGGUUUGUGGUCCAAAGUGCAGCAGUGAGCUUUAGAGUGAAGUAGGGAAGGCUACAUUCCCCACAAACCAACCCUAACUGACCUAUUCACACACACAGACACCCAUUUCUAGGAAUCCUUGGAAGCUGAAUCCUUGGAAGAUUUGCUUUCCCUCCCGUAAAGUUAUAGCCAAAUCAAAGGAUGAUGAACUAUGAUUAAAGCAAACUCUCUUUCUAACGGGUAAUACCAUGGGACCACUGAAAUCUCUUUUAACAGCAGUCUCUCUUAUCUGUAGGAACAUACUGUGCUUUAACCAGAAAGAUGCUGUUUUUCUCUCCUAAAUGGAAAGAAAAGCCUCUCUAGUCUUUUUGCCAAUCCCCAUAACACACUCAACACUCUCCAGAGGUCCUGUACAGCCUAGGAAAUAUUUUCAUGUCUAACAAUAUAUAUGUGUGUGUAUGUGUUUGUUUGUGUGUGUUGUGCAUCAGGAUAUUAGCAGAUUUUCUUUUCUUUUCCUUUUGAUUUCGUGUCCUGAAGUAAACAAGAACUGUUGAACUUCCAGACUGAGAUUAUUAAAGAAAAAAGCCAAAGGGGAUUUUGCUGCGUGAUUAAAAUUAAUGGGAAUUGGGCCUUUUCAUCCCCCUUUGGUGGUCUUAAAAAUCACAACGGUGUGCCUCACAGUGCAGUUUCAUUGGGAAGCAUCCCAAAGGGCUGUACAAUAACAAUGAAAUUAAAGGUUAAUCUGUCUUUCAGAGUCAAAGUAGUUAAAAUGGGUAAAAGCUGUUCCCUUUAAGCAGAGCUGGGCAGAAUAGAUAAUUCAGCACAUCUAUCCAAUACAUUAAUUAUCCACAAAUUUUUGGAGCAGACGGAAGUUGUCUUAAAAACAGAGGAAGAAGCCAGUGCAGUUCAGAUAUUCAGAAAUCUCAUGCCCUUCACAUGUAAGGGUAUUUGUGUCAUGCUCCUGUCUUUGCCCUCAGACUUGAUGCUUUAGUCUCCUGUGAAUAGAAGCUGUGUUCAAGUAUUUGCAUGUAUAGAAGGGUUAAACCGGGGACAGGAUAUGCUCACAACUUCCCCUCUUUAGAUCUUUGCAUAUUUAACACAAAGGAGUCUGAAGCAUGUUUUUUAAAAAUAAAAAAGCAUUUGAUUGGGUGCACAUGGAAACCUCCCCUUGAGAGUGAACCCUGAAUUAUUACAGUGUCCAAUCAGGGGGACCGUUUCUAAGUGCAUUCAAUUGAAAACACUUUUUAAAACCCUUCACACCUCAUGCUAAUCACACAGAGAUCUAGAUUGCAGCCUGUAUGCUGCCUGGGGAUGUUGUGAGGUGGGGUCCAUGUGCGCACACUUGCGCCCAUCUCUAUGUUAACCCUUCAAAUGCUUGAACGCAGUACAGUAUCUGCAUACUCAAAAUUGGUGUGUGUGGGUUCUAUACUUGCUAAUCUGGGACCCUGCGGCCUUCCCAGUCAUGUGUGGAAUGACUUCAUAAAUACAACCGGCAUUAUUCUGUGCCUCUUAUGGAGAGGGAGGUGGAAUUCAACACAGGACAGCUGCCGCAUAUGUCCUAUAAUAUCAAUUACCCUAUGUAGGGCUAUUUUCCUUUAUUUUAUUAUUUAUUCAUUUAUUGUUUUUAUAUCCCUCAUUUCUCUUAGGUGCUCACUGUCAGAGACAUUCCCUUCCUGACAAGUGGCGAAGCGGCAGACACAGAUGAAGAAGAGAGAGAAUUCCUAAGGGAGGGGAGAGAAGCAUUGAGCAGCGGUAAUUUGACCCCUGUACACAGAGAGAAUGAGAGGGAGUCACAGGGUGCAGAAAUGUAACUUGCUAGCUCUGAUAAUGACACAACGGAAGGAGAGGAGCGAAUCGGGGAGGGGGGUAAAAUCUCCGAGGACUCAUAGAUUAAUGCGGCUAGCAGAAAAGCGUAUGCCUGGGAGAAAGAGAAGGUGGGGGCUUUCCUGUUGGGGCUGGAAGAGGAAGAGCCCAGUUUUGGCAACUGGAUCAUCAAGCGAGG